CUCACCUUGCUGAAUUUUAGUUAGUAGCUGAUGGCGUGCAAGAAUCCUACUCAUCCUGUAUGGAGAGCGUCUCGUAGUCUGAUCAAAUCAGUGCAACAGUUUUGACAGGAGAGACUGAAGGAGUUCCCCAGCUAUCCCACAGCUCAGUGAUUGGUGCACGCUUCUGAGGAUUUGAACAGGGGUCUCCUCCUUUCUCCCCAGGAAGCAGAAAGGAGGGAAUUGAAUGUGCAUUUCCUACAUCCCUGGAAAAGACUUGUGUGACUAGUUCGGUCACAGAGACCCCCUUGGGACUGCCACCUGAUGUGCUGAGACGAUCUCUGAGCCUGUUUUCCCUGCCAGCUUGGGACUUCAGAAGCCUGCCUUGUUGAACCAGACAUGCCUGCUGCAAACAUAGACCCAGGUCUGAACCACAUCCCAAAACCUGCAGACUUAACUAAAAACAGCUUAAGAAAUGCUCCUGUCUCCAGCACCCAGAUACCCAGUUCCCAAUGGGAUCCAAACCCCAAAUAAAUCCAUUUUACUCCAUGUAAAAUUUAUACAGGAUAAACGCAUAAAUUAUCCAUCCUCUAUAACACUGAUAGAGAGAUGCACAGCUCUUUGCUCCCCCAGGUAUCAAUUAAGAACAUAAGAACGGCCAUACUGGGUCAAACCAAAGGUCCAUCAAGCCCAGUAUCCUGUCCUCUGACAGUGGCCAAUGACAGGUGCCCCAAAGGGAAUGAACAGACAGGUUAUCAUCAAGUGAUCCAUGCCCUGUCACCCAAUCCCAGCUUCUGGCAAACAGAGGCUAGGAACACCAUUCCUGCCCAUCCUGGCUAAUAGAUUCAUGGAAGAUAGCCAUUGAUGGGCCUAUCUAGCUCCCUUUUGAACCCCAUUAUAGUAUUGGCCUUCACAACACCCUCUGGCAAGGGGUUCCAGAGGUUGACAGUGCAUUGAGUGAAAAAAUACUUUCUUGUGUUUGUUUUAAACCUGCUACCUAUUAAUUUCAUUUGGUGGCCCCUUGUUCUUGUAUUAUGAGAAAGA